ACUGGGUCUUCUUAGAGUCGGGUUGCUUGGGAAUGCAGCCCAAAGCUGGUGGUAAACUCCAUCUAAGGCUAAAUACCGGCACGAGACCGAUAGUCAAGAAGUACCGUAAGGGAAAGUUGAAAAAAACUUUAAAGAGAGG